rnacentral:rRNA from 1 species
AAUGAACGUUGGCGGCGUGGAUUAGGCAUGCAAGUCGUGCGGAAAGGCUCCUUCGGGAGUACUCGAGCGGCGAAAGGGAGAGUAACGCGUGGAUAUCUACCCCCUGGUCUGGGAUAGCGGCGGGAAACUGCCGGUAAUACCAGAUAAUGUCUGCGGACCAAAGGUGUGAUUCCGCCGGGGGAUGAGUUCGCGUCCUAUUAGCUAGUUGGUAGGGUAACGGCCUACCAAGGCAAAAAUGGGUACCGGGUGUGAGAGCAUGGCCCGGCUCACUGGGACUGAGACACUGCCCAGACACCUACGGGUGGCUGCAGUCGAGAAUCUUCGGCAAUGGGCGCAAGCCUGACCGAGCGACGCCGCGUGCGGGAUGAAGGCCUUCGGGUUGUAAACCGCUGUCAGAGGGGAGGAAAUGCGUAGGAGUUCUCUCUUACGUUUGACCUAUCCUCAGAGGAAGUACGGGCUAAGUUCGUGCCAGCCGCCGCCGUAACAC